GAAAUGCGAUAAGUAAUGUGAAUUGCAGAAUUCAGUGAAUCAUCGAAUCUUUGAAAGCACAUUGCGCCCGCCAGCACUCUGGCGGGCAUGCCUGUUCGAGCGUCAUUUCAACCAUCAAACCCCCCGGGUUUGUGCUGGGGAUCUGCGGCUAACCGCAGGCCCUGAAAACCAGGGGCGGGCCCGCCGCCGUGCCCGAGCGUAGUAGUUCUAUCCGCUAGCUCCGGGUGGGUAGGGGGUUUCCGCGCCGUUAAACCCCACCAUCAAGCAAGGUUGAACUCGGAUCAGGUAGGAAUACCCGCUGAACUUAA
rnacentral:misc_RNA from 1 species